CAACUCCGCUUGAUCCUGGCGGACCCAACUGCUAUCGGGAUGAGACUAAGCCAUGCAAGUCUGCGUCUCCUAGCCACGGUGGAGACGCGGCGCACGGCUCAGUAACAUGUGGCCAACUUACCCUUAGGACGGGGACAACCCCGGGAAACUGGGGCUAAUCCCCGAUAGGUAGAGAGGCCUGGAAUGGUUCUCUACUCAAAGGGAGAUGAACCCAUGCGUUCACCUCCGCCUAAGGAUAGGGCCGCAUCCGAUCAGGUUGUUGGUGAGGUAACGGCUCACCAAGCCUAAGACCGGUACGGGCCGUGAGAGCGGGAGCCCGGAGAUGGGCACUGAGAUAAGGGCCCAGGCCCUACGGGGCGCAGCAGGCGCGAAAACUCCGCAAUGCGCGUAAGCGUGACGGGGUCAUCCCGAGUGCCGUCCGCUGAGGAUGGCUUUUCUCCGGUCUAACCAGCCGGAGGAAUAAGGGGAGGGCAAGUCUGGUGUCAGCCGCCGCGGUAAUACCAGCUCCCCGAGUGGUUGGGACGAUUAUUGGGUCUAAAGCGUCCGUAGCCGGCUGAGGAAGUUCUCCGUUAAAUCCAACGAUUCAAUCGUUGGGCUGCGGGGAAUACUCCUCAGCUUGGGGGCGGGGGAUGUCGGCGGUAUUUCCGGGGUAGGGGCGAAAUCCUAUAAUCCCGGAAGGACCACCAGUGGCGAAGGCGGCCGACAAAAACGCGCCCGACGGUGAGGGACGAAAGCUGGGGGAGCGAUCGGGAUUAGAUACCCCGGUAGUCCCAGCCGUAAACGAUGCAGGCUAGGUGUUGGAGCGGCUACGGGCCGCUCCAGUGCCGCAGGGAAGCCGUUAAGCCUGCCACCUGGGGAGUACGGCCGCAAGGCUGAAACUUAAAGGAAUUGGCGGGGGAGCACCACAAGGGGUGAAGCCUGCGGUUUAAUUGGAGUCAACCCCGGGAACCUUACCAGGAGCGACAGCGGGAUGAAGGUCAGAUUAAAGGUCUUACCGGACUAGCUGAGAGGAGGUGCAUGGCCGUCGCCAGUUCGUGCCGUGAGGUGUUCUCUUAAGUGAGACAACGAACGAGACCCGCGCCCCCAGUUGCCAGCAGAUUCCACCGGAGUCUGGGCACACUGGGGGGACCGCCUCCGCUAAGGGGGAGGAAGGAGCGGGCCACGGCAGGUCAGUAUGCCCCGAAUCUCCUGGGCCACACGCGGGCUGCAAUGGCUGGGACAAUGGGUUCCCACCCUGAAAAGGGGAGGUAAUCCCUAAACCCAGCCUCAGUAGGGAUCGAGGGCUGCAACUCGCCCUCGUGAACAUGGAAUCCCUAGUAACCGCGUGUCACCAUCGCGCGGUGAAUACGUCCCUGCUCCUUGCACACACCGCCCGUCGCUCCACCCGAGU
rnacentral:rRNA from 1 species